UACGUAGGGGGCCAGCGUUGUCCGGAAUCAUUGGGCGUAAAGCGCGUGUAGGCGGUUCGGUAAGUCCGCUGUGAAAGUCGGGGGCUCAACCCUCGGAUGCCGGUGGAUACUGUCGGACUAGAGUACGGAAGAGGCGAGUGGAAUUCCUGGUGUAGCGGUGAAAUGCGCAGAUAUCAGGAGGAACACCAAUGGCGAAGGCAGCACUCUGGGACGUGACUGACGCUGAGACGCGAAAGCGUGGGGAGCAAACAGG
rnacentral:rRNA from 1 species